rnacentral:rRNA from 1 species
AUACGUAGGUGACAAGCGUUGUCCGGAAUUACUGGGCGUAAAGAGCUCGUAGGUGGUUUGUCGCGUCGUCUGUGAAAUUCCGGGGCUUAACUCCGGGCGUGCAGGUGAUACGGGCAUAACUUGAGUACUGUAGGGGAGACUGGAAUUCCUGGUGUAGCGGUGAAAUGCGCAGAUAUCAGGAGGAACACCGGUGGCGAAGGCGGGUCUCUGGGCAGUAACUGACGCUGAGGAGCGAAAACAUGGGUAGCGAACAGGAUUAGAUACCUUGGUAGUCCAGGCCGUAAACGGUGGGCGCUAGGUGUAGGGGUCUUCCACGACUUCUGUGCCGUAGCUAACGCAUUAAGCGCCCCGCCUGGGGAGUACGGCCGCAAGGCUAAAACUUAAAGGAAUUGACGGGG